rnacentral:lncRNA from 1 species
CUCCAUAACUUUAGCAUCAGUUCAGUUCUUAUACACAAGUAACUAAACGUCUAGUGCCACCAUGCUGUCUCUCUGUUGCCUUCUUUUUGCGAUUGCUUCAGUUUCUGCUGGACAUGAAACGCAGAUCGUCGGUGGAUCUCAAGCACGAAACUGUGAAUUUCCAUCUAUUGUCCAUCUC